UACAGAGGUGGCAAGCGUUGUCCGGAUUUAUUGGGCGUAAAGAGCGUGUAGGCGGCCAGAUAGGUCCGUUGUGAAAACUCGAGGCUCAACCUCGAGACGCCGAUGGAAACCAUUUGGCUAGAGUCCGGAAGAGGAGAGUGGAAUUCCUGGUGUAGCGGUGAAAUGCGCAGAUAUCAGGAAGAACACCCGUGGCUAAGGCGGCUCUCUAGUACGGUACUGACGCUGAGACGCGAAAGCGUGGGGAGCGAACAGG
rnacentral:rRNA from 1 species